AUGGAAGGCCUUCUACGUUGGGACUUCAACCCCGACCUUGCUGUGGCCGAUGAGGUGUGUCGCCAUUUUGGAGAAACUGUUCAUUUUUCACCUUCUCGUUCCACCAAGGAACUUUUCUUGGUUGUUUCCUUUUCCUCGGCCUCUUUUCCUCUAUCCGAAGAAUCGGUGAGUAUUGCGUUGCAAUGCUGUAUUGGUGGCCAUCCACGUGGUUUCAAGGUUUCUCAUAUCAAUGAUCGAUCGGUUCUUUGUGGCUAG
rnacentral:rRNA from 1 species